rnacentral:lncRNA from 1 species
AUGCAGGAACUGGAAUCUGAGGAAGAAACAGCGACAACAAGAACAGGAACAGGACUGCCCAUAGUUGAACCAGGCCUAACACUUGCAACAGAGGUAGUGCAGUCUAAGCAAUGGGACAUUGCAUUUAAAGUGCCCUCAGUACAGAAGGUAGAAUUUACCAAUCCCACAGCUACAGAUCAGCCUACCACUUCCACUUCAGUUCAGGAACCUGAAAGAGUGAAUGUAAUUGAUAAUGUAGUAAAGGAGCUGUUCCUGUUCUCAAAUGUCUUGAAGGCUGCAAGAGAGAUGGAAUUGUCGGCAGCCACGCAGAAUGCACCAUCUGUAAACCACAUGGAAUCCAUAAACCACAAAUCUUCACAUUCUGAAGAGAACACAGAUCAGAAGCAACAAGAGGAACCACACACAUAUUCCCAUACCAUGGGGCCCACAGAGCCUACCAUUGCUCCCAUUGUCUUGACCUCUUUGGCUGAAACAGAUGUUCACGAUACGACUGUUCUGCUCCAAAGUACAGUGUCACAUACAGUUUCUGUGGAUGAGCUGCUUGAAGAUAGUAUGGUGAGCUCAGGAAACACAGAAAGAGGAGCUGGUACCACCUCCGCACCAGUCUUGAUUGAAGCACCAGGUCCAAACACCACUUUGCCUGAACCUGUCACCCACACUGCUACAGUUAGCGAGUCAUCCUCGGACUGCCCUUUUAGCCAAGACUCAAGGGGAAAGGAUCAAGGCUGUUGCUGUUCACCACCUGGCCUGGAAAACUUGGUCCAUGCAAUGACAGGUCUCCGUGGGGAACUAGGCUCCCUCUCUACUGCCAUUCAACAUCAGGGCUCUCAACUAGAGGCUCUUGCCCGCAGUCUGGCUGAGCUGGCAGUUUCUGUGAACCAUCUUGUGGGGGUGCUGCCUACCUUACUGCAGCCAGCAGCUGCCCAGUCCUCCUCAGCUCAAAAUACGCAGGAUGAAGGCCAAAUGCAUAACCAGCUGCCCUUAAAAUGAAAAUAGGACUUUCUAUAAGGAGAGGAAGUUGCCUCUCAAGCCAACUAAAGUCAAACUUCUGCUAUGAGGUGAGCCCACCUCCCAUGAAAUCCCGUUAAAUAUGCCAUAAGCAGAGGUCAUACAUGCUACAAAAAGGUACUAUAGGAGACCUCCACCCCAAUGGUUAUGGGAUUUUGGUUGAUCUAUUUAUAAGCAGUUAACUAGAAAAAUGUGCUGAGAAUGGUAAAAUUGGGAAACAUUGCACAGUUCACAGGAGGAUGCAUGAUCUGAAAUCCAGAAGUCAAACGGAUUUGUAGAUUUUUUUGAAAAAUGAACAAGAUAUAGCAAUUUCAAAUGUAAAAAUGCAGAACCAAUUAUGAUUGGGUACUAGAUUGAUUGGGUACUAGAUUGCGCUAAGAAAAAUGUUCAAAUAAGUGUUUGUAUAAUUGCUUACAUUGAUGUGUGGUGGGCUGAUCAGUAUUAUCUUCUAAAAUAUUUUGGAUUUUAACAUAAGCCUUCAUGAAUACUCCAUUCAUUUGUUUGUGUAGGCUGGUCAUUGAACCUUUCUAUGUAAUAAACUGUUGAAUUUUGUGUGAUCAUUCCUGUGCAAAAUGGGAGAAAUGAGUAGAAAAGGCUGGAAAGGGCAGGAGCUAAGCACUAGGUGUAUUCUUUUUGGUAAUACUAUAUAUCCACUGUCUCAGAAGUAAAUUCCUGAAAUGACCACGAGAUGUCAUCACAAUGUCAUAUAGACACAACCCAAGAACCAUAACUGAAAUCCCUUCCAUAGUUGAAAAUCCUCUUCCCCCAGUCCAUUUGAUCAGUUAAACCUACACCUAAUAAAACUACUACAAUAGUGUAAGAAGUCACUUAGAGGGAUGAUUUCAGGAGAGAAGCUGACACCUUCACUAAUGUCUGAAUCUGUUGGACAAAACUCUGCAAUAAUAAACAAUUAAAUUAUAACCAUUAUGCUUACUUUGGUAAAAAUAAAAUAAAAAUAUGUAUCCAAUACAUUAGAAUUAGGAGUUUUGCUGGUGAUGUCAAUAAGGAUGAUAGAUGGUAUCGUUAUCAUAAAUAAACAAAAUUUCACACUUGCCACAUGCCACGGUGUUCGUAUGGCCUCUGGGUCAGGGACCUAAUCUCUCCCCCCCCCUUAUGCUACUUAAUAAAGCCCCAUGCAUUUUAAUGGAGAAAGUAUUAAGAAUUUAAAUUUUAACAGAGAAGGGUGACCAAGAUGAUCAAGGAUCUGGAAGCCAAGCCUUACGAGGAACAAUUGAAGGAGCUGGGUAUGUUUAGCCUGGAACAGAGGAGACUUAGAAGAGAUAUGAUAGCCAUCUUCGAAUAUCUAAAGGGCUGUCACAUGGAAGAUGGAGCAAGUUUGUUUUCUCCUGCUCUGGAGGGUAGGACACAAACCAAUGGCUUCAAGUUACAAGAAAGGCGAUUCCAACUAAACAUCAGGAAGAACUUUCUGACAGUAAGAGCAGUGAAACAGGCUCCCUUGGGAGCUGGUGGACUCAGCUUCAUUGGAGGUUUUUAAGCAGAGAUUGGAUGACCAUCUGUCAUCAUGGAUACUUUAGCUGAGAUUUCUGCAUUUCAGGGGGUUGAACUAGAUUACCCUUGGGGUCCCUUCAAAAUUUACAAUUCUAUGCUUCUAUGAUUGUAACAGAUUAAAAUAAGCUUCCUUCAUCCAGAGGCAAUUAUUACCGAUUUCUAGAAGCUGGAGACUUUUCCAGGUGACAUAUAGCUCACUGCUGUUGAAGGUCUGCUAGACAUUUAGUCUGUUCUAACAAAGGAGGGUGGUAUCUUCUUGGAGGCGUUGCUUCUGCCGCUUGCUCCAAUAAGCAGGGCUUAUGCAAAUUAGCUGUAGAAUCUUAGUCCCUAUGAGUUGGAGGAAAACUGUCUUUUCCUAGUUCCAGCCUUCUCAGUGGUCUGAGACCAUUUUUGCACCAUUUCUCCCACAAAAAAAUGGUGCUUGUCCACACUUCCACUUGUCCUAAGGCUGGACAGCAUGGGCCAAUGCACUUUUGCCUUUGUUCCCCAACUUUUCCCCAGAAAACCCGCUCUUUAGUACUAAAGCAGAGCAAACUGGCAUUUGCUCCAACUCAGCGGUAAAGAUUGGGCUUUCCUGGGGGGAAGUGGUGGGACAAGUGCAAGUCUGGAUGAGCUGCCCAGACUACUGCCCACAAUAGUUGCUUCACAGCAAAGUCAGAUAGCAAGACAGUUUAUUCAUUCUCCAAGGCCUUAAAGGUGUUUGUGUCAAUGUAUUCCAUCUGUGUAUUCUAUGUAUUGCAUUUUUUCAAUGUCAUUCACACAGUGUAUCCUGAUCUGCGGAUAGGGUCACAUUACCCAACUGUGGACAUACUGAAGCAUUGUGCGGGCAGGGUUUGUUUUUUACAUGUGCGGUGUAAAAAAACUACACCCUCUACUUCUGUUGGAGAGCUGCUUCUCUGUGGGUUGCUAGUAGGUCUGGGCAUGUCACACACAUACGCUUAAUUUUUGUUUUCUUGCUAUUCUGUGAAAGUCUGGUAUAUUGGAAAACUUGCAUCUCAUUUAUAAAACAUAUAAAUCCCCCCCCCGACUGGUACACAAAUACUUGCUUGAAUGCCCACAAAAGUUGAGAUUCUUGCAUUGCAAGGUGUUGGGACUCGAUGACCCUCAGGCUCCCUAGCUGAGAGGUAGCAAUCGGAGUUCAGAAUGAAGUUUGCUCUGGAGACUAGACAAGCCAUAUGAUUUUUGCUCUAACCAUGGUAACAGGAUAUGAACAUCAGAGGGAUGACAUCACAAUGUAGGCAGCAAUGCUAAUGGCAUCACAAUAGCAUAGGUGACAUCAGAGUAGGCUACUGUUACAACCCCAAGGUUGCACUUUGCUACUAAGUCAGUCCUUUCAAGUUGUGACAAAAAACCAGGCAGGAUCUCGAUCAGGGUGGCCCAACUUUUGACAGCAAGUGGGCCACAAAAGUACUUCAACAAGGAACCUAUGGGCCACACACUGCUUUGUUGUGGGUCUGUGGGGGGGGGGUAGGGAAGCAAAUCACACACCCAGCCCUUGUUCUGCCUCCCCAAAGCUGGCUAUGCUAUGCGAGGUACCAGGCUUUGGGAAGGAGAUGUGAGGCUUUCGCAGGGUCUUAGAACCCUAGCAUCUCCUUCCUAAAGCUGAGAAACUAGGCUUUGGGAAGGUUUCAAUAUUCUGUUUGGUUAAGGUAUUGCCAGGCAGAGGGCCUUCUUGGUAGUGGCGCCCACCCUGUGGAAAGCCCUCCCAUUAGAUGUCAAGGAAAUAAACAACUAUCUGACUUUUAGAAGACAUCUGAAGGCAGCCCUGUUUAGGGAAUUUUUAGUGAAGUUUUUAAUGUUUGAUGUUUGAUUGCUUUUUAUUGUUGUUGUUGGGAGCCGCCCAGAGUGGCUGGAGAAACCCAGCCAGAUGGGUGGGGUAUAAAUAAUAUUAUUAUGAUUUCCAACCCCACCCUUGCUCCUCAGUGGAUCAACAUUGAUAUCAAGAUUGCCUUACAGAUUUUCCUUCAGGUUCUAGCUCUAACUGACUUAAAUGUCUCAUCUGUGCUGGGAAUGUAAAAGGAACGGUGGGGUGCCAUGUUGGCUUUGAACACAUCCCAUUGACCCUCUGCUGAGGACUCCGUCAGCUGCAUUAUAUUUAGCACAGUGAUUAGAGAAUGAGAGGCGUGUCAGGUGCAGCUGCUGCCCAGGGAUGGGAGGGAGAAGAGAGGUGCUAAUUCAUUCCGUCAUGGGUUGGGAGUGGCAGCCCAGGUGCCACGAGAGACCCUGAUAAGGACAGAGCUGCUGUUCAAUGAGCUGGUGGCCCCACGGGGGCCUCGCACCUGACCCCAUUAUGUAAGCGCUCAUUAGCAACUAAUCCCGCCACCUGUCCCAGCCUUGAGGGGACCAGGGGGGCAUGUUGUGGCAUGAAGUCCAUGGCACUGCACACUCCAAGGACAUGUGCCGCGGAUAGGUUUGGUGUCCUAAGCACCGCUCCCAAAGGGGUCCUACAUAUGAAAAAAUCCAAAGUAAUGAUUUACACUAAUCUUCCUCUAUAUGUGGAAGUAAUGGAAAGAGUUCUAGAAUAGAGCAUAUUAUUUUAAAAAUAGAUUUUCAUGAUUAUUUUAUAUUUUCAGCUCCUUGGGGGCUUAAAAUGUUAAUUUUUGCCCAUGUAUUUUCUGUAAAGCACCAUGUACACUGAUGGUCCUUAUUAAUCAUAUUAAUAAUAAUUGCAGGUGUUUUUUCCAGGAAAACCUAAGCCCUAACUAGGAACGGCUGAAUCUGCCAAUCUCUCUGUUUCUCAUUCUUCCAAACUUAAUUUCAGUUACUCACAUUUCCAAAUUAGCUCAUGGUUGUUGUUUUAAGUCCUUAUGAAAAUUCAUAGCAUUUUAGUGUGAAUUUCUUCUAAUAUACUUACAUACACACACUUGCAUGCAUCUUUGUAUACAUUAUUGCAAGGUGAUUUCCCCUAAUGUAAUGCAUUUUUCUAUGUUAUUUUCACUAAUAUAUGCAUUUUUAUGUACACUUUACCCUAGUCUACGCAUUUUUGUACACAUCACUUGGCUGGAGAGUUGAAUUGCAAAAUACAGAGAAUUUCUAAGAGCAGCAAUGUCCCUGUUCCUGUAUUGUUUCACAAAGUGCAAAUUAGGUUAAAGGUAAAGGGACCCCUGACCAUUGGGUCCAAAUGCGGAUGACUUUGGGGUUGCGGCACUCAUCUCACUUUACUGGCCGAGGAAAACGGCAUACAGCUUCUGGGUCAUGUGGCCAGCAUGGUGAACCAGAGCAGAGCACAGAAACGCCAUUUAUACCUUCCUGCCGAAGUGGUACCUAUUUAUCUACUUGUACUUUUGUGUGCUUUCGAACUGCUAGGUUGGCAAGAGCAGGGACCGAGCAAUGGGAGCUCACCCUGUCACGGGGAUUUGAACUGCUGACCUUCUGAUUGGCAAGCCCUAGGCUCUGUGGUUUACACCUUGAAUUUGCCUUAAAAUGUGAAUCAAAUUUCUCCCCCACUCC